ACACGUGCGUAUAAAUACGGGCCCAAGUCCGAUAGAUCCGGCACAACGCAAUCAGCAUCCACACUCGAUCGCUCAAAACGGUCUUCAGUACUCAACGAUUUGAAAAAAACCACACAAAAUCCAAACGUCAACAUGUCCGGAAAACUCGUCAUCUUCUUCUUGGUUGCCGUUGCUCUGGCUUGCAUCGGUUCCGCCGCCGCCCAAUACGUCGUCUACCCCGCGGAACCGGCCAUCACUCCCUACUACCACCCCUACGGAUACACCUACCCCUUGACUUACAACUACAGAUUCGGUGGUUACCCAUACCUCUUACGCCGUUGAUUUGAGAUGUCACACCCUUUCUAAUUGAAACGCCUAGAAGAAGAACAUACAGACUUCACACUAAAUUAUGUUUAAACGAUAUGUUAAACAUUUUAUUUAUUUGGUUUAAAAAAAUGUAAUUUAUUUUGAAUUUUCAUAUUCAUCUUAAUCACAAUAAUAUAUACACUUUAUAUUGAAAUAAAAAAAUAUUUAUACAAAACUGUACA
rnacentral:lncRNA from 1 species